rnacentral:rRNA from 1 species
AUCUACGGCCAUGCCACCCUGAACAAGCCCGAGCCCGUUUGAUCUCAGAAGCUAAGCAGGGUUGGGCCUGGUUAGUACUUGGAUGAGAGACCACCUAGGAAGACCAGGUGCUGUAGGCA